AAGCAGCAACGCCGCGUGGGGGAUGACGGCCUUCGGGUUGUAAACCUCUUUUCUCGGGGACGAUAAUGACGGUACUCCGGGGAAUAAGUCAACGGCUAACUACGUGC
rnacentral:rRNA from 1 species